rnacentral:rRNA from 1 species
AACAGGAUUAGAUACCCUGGUAGUCCACGCUGUAAACGAUGGAUACUAGGUGUGCGGGGACUGACCCCCUGCGUGCCGCAGUUAACACAAUAAGUAUCCCACCUGGGGAGUACGAUCGCAAGGUUGAAACUCAAAGGAAUUGACGGGGGCCCGCACAAGCGGUGGAUUAUGUGGUUUAAUUCGAAGCAACGCGAAGAACCUUACCAGGUCUUGACAUCCUGCUAACGAAGUAGAGAUACAUUAGGUGCCCUUCGGGGAAAGCAGAGACAGGUGGUGCAUGGUUGUCGUCAGCUCGUGUCGUGAGAUGUUGGGUUAAGUCCCGCAACGAGCGCAACCCCUAUUGUUAGUUGCUACGCAAGAGCACUCUAGCGAGACUGCCGUUGACAAAACGGAGGAAGGUGGGGACGACGUCAAAUCAUCAUGCCCCUUAUGACCUGGGCUACACACGUAAUACAAUGGCGGUCAACAAAGGGAUGCAAAGCCGCGAGGCAGAGCGAACCCCAAAAAGCCGUCCCAGUUCGGAUCGCAGGCUGCAACCCGCCUGCGUGAAGUCGGAAUCGCUAGUAAUCGUGGGUCAGCAUACCACGGUGAAUACGUUCCCGGGCCUUGUACACACCGCCCGUCACACCAUGAGAGUCGGGAACACCCGAAGUCCGUAGCCUAACCGCAAGGAGGGCGCGGCCGAAGGUGGGUUCGAUAAUUGGGGUGAAGUCGUAACAAGGUAGCCGUUCGAGAACGAGCGGCUG